GUGUGAGAGCCUCAGUCUGUCUGUAGCUCCCAUUGUGAACAGACCUCCUCGACACGUGCCAGAAAUAACCGCUCAAGUGACGAUGAUGGGAAAAUGGAACAUGGUGGUGAUGGUGGUGAUGGUGGUGGUGGUGGAGGGGAGGAACAGGGUCCAGAAGCGCCAGAUCUUCCGCGAGGCCGUGCUGCCUUGGAAGGGGGGCGUCAUCCCUGAGUCGGCCUUCACCCCCAAGCGCCUCCACCACAACGCCCUGGAGCAAGUGGGGGUGCACGCGCCCGACGGGGAGGUGUUCAUUACCAGGGACUUCGACAACCGGCUUGGCGUAGAUCCUGAAGAUGCGAUUGAGCUGCUAAGGUUGGAGCCAAAUGUCUACCCACCCCUAUCAUUUCACGCCCCCUUCCCUCUAGGCGGCCGUCUGCUUGGGAACGAUGUAACACGACCUCUGCCCACCACCUAUCUCCUCCGUCGCCCCUCCCCCUCCAACCUCCCCAUCCCUGAGCGCCCACCCCGCCUCACUCGUCUCUCCCCAGUGGUCAAAAUCUCAGGGGGUGGUCCGCAUAUCCCCCUCUCCUCCUUUCAUAUAUAAGGGGGGCGAGGGGGUGAGGGGGGCGGGGAAACGUACAUAGGAACACACGCCUACUUACACACAUACAUACAUACAUACAUACAUACAUACAUACAUACAUGAAUUUGAAGAGGAGGGAAGGAAGGAAGGAAGGAAAAAGAAGAAGAAGAAGAAGAAGAACAAGAAGAGGCAGAGGAAAAGAAAGAAGAUGGGAAAAAGAGGAAGAAAAGAAGAGGAAGAAGAAGAAGAAAACGAAGAAAAAAAAGAAAAACAACAUCUAUGUUAAUUAAAAAAAAUAUAUAUAAAUAAAGUUCUUAAUAAAAAUGUAUGAAUGACUAA